ensembl:lncRNA
AUGAGCACCAGGAAGAAGAACAUCCCUAAGUACUCAAAUUUCCAGAGCAUGGAGUUGGAACCCACAGAGGCCGAGGACCAGGAACUCUCUGAAUUGGACUCACUUUACCAGUCUAGUCUGCAGGCUGGCCCGGGUCCUGGCCGAGCCCUGUGUGGUACCAGCUCACCUGCUGUUUUGAGACCAGUACUUCCUGCUGCACGAAAGCUGCUCACUGGAGUCGGACGCUCUCGGACCCCCACGGCUGAACUUGAGAGAACCGCUUAUGGACCACCAGGUUGUUGCAGCCCUACUGGAUAUAUGAACAUGCCCCCGUCAGUGGCCCAUCAAGAGCCUCAGUCAGGAGAGGAAGACCAGUAUGAUGCGGAUCACCUGCGCCGUAUUGCUCGCAGCCUGAGUGGAACGGUCAUUGGCCGUCGCCAGAACCGUCUUGCCGUCUCCCGAAGCUUCCUGGGAGACUCCGGGGUUACGUCAUAUCACAACUCCAUGUACUCACCUAGUUGCCUUCAGUUUCCAUUGUCUCAUUCAGACCUCCAUCUGCUCCAACCCAGCUAUCUUCAUCUUCUUCCAUCAUUUUCACCCCCGUCUCAGAAGCCUGGGCCUUCCAGAGAGGCCCCAGGACGUCUCCAGAGGUUCUCCGAGUUUCUGGCUGUGUUUGACCGGCGUCAAGCUCUCUCCAGUGGGAAGCACUACGGUCCAGCAGUGAGGUGUAUUGGAAGACAUCCUCUCUGAAGUUCUCACCCAACCAAUUGGCUUUGGACCAGGUCCUCCAGCCCUGGAACAUUUCCACAGAUGUGUUUGUUCCCUUCUGCACACCUCAUCCCAUUCUCUUCACAGUUUCCUGGAGAACUGAAAGGAGCACGUUCAGAGACCUGAUGCCAUCCUCAAUCACCCUGCACUCUGUAUUGUUCCUGGGAUGAUGCCCGUCUGUUACCCUGCUAUAGUCGGUAAAUCUUUCCAUGCAGAAGCCCCUGAAGCUCGAUCCACAGCAUGACGGAAAGAGACACCAAAACCAACUUUUUUUUUAUUUAUGAGCACUGGGAUGGCGUGAUUCUUUGGGGCUGAGGUGUGUGUGUAUGACUAACCUAUAGUUAGACUUUCAGCAUGCAAUGAUAGGAGCGUGGGGUCCAGAUUUGGACUCCCGCAGUGAGCCAUCCAACCCAGAGCACUUAACUUAAUUAACCCCAACAUUCAAUUAAUUGCAGAGGAGAAGCAUACGGUACCUCCUUGCUGCACUAGACGGUAAAUGUGUGUUUGUGUGUAUGCGUGUGUGCAUGUGUUGGGUGGUAAAAGUGGAGGGGCUUAUUGUAACCCUGCCCUCAUUUAUACUACAGGUCAAAAGUUUGGAAUGAUUAAGAUUUUUUUAUAUAUAUUUUUAAUAAGAUGUCUCAAGUGAUCAAAAAUACAGUAAAAACAGUAAAAUUGUGAAUAUUAUUACAAUUUAAAGCAUUGUUUUUCAUUUGAAUAUAUUUCAAAAGAAAUAUUUAGCAGCUUGACAGUUUUUAACAUUGAUUAUAAUUGUAUCAAUAAAUGUUUCUUGAGCACCAAAUCAGCAUAUUAGAACGAUUUCUGAAGGAUCAUGUGACACUGAAGACUGGAGUAAUGGAAUAAAUUACACUUUAAAAUAUAUCUAAAUAUAA